rnacentral:rRNA from 1 species
GACGAACGCUGGCGGCGCGCUUAACACAUGCAAGUCGAGCGAGAACCAAGCCUUCGGGCUUGGGGACAGCGGCGAACGGGUGAGUAACACGUGGGUAAUCAACCCUCGACACUGGGAUAGCCCGGGGAAACCCGGAUUAAUACCGGAUACCCCAUCUGGCCUUCGGGCCGGCUGGAAAAGGUAGCUUCGGCCUCCGGUCGGGGACGAGCCCGCGGCGGAUUAGCUUGUUGGUGGGGUAAAGGCCCACCAAGGCGACGAUCCGUAGCUGGUCUGAGAGGACGAUCAGCCACGCUGGGACUGAGACACGGCCCGGGCUCCUACGGGAGGCAGCGGUGGGGAAUCUGGCGCAAUGGGCGAAAGCCUGAUGCAGCGACGCCGCGUGAGGGAAAAAGGCCUUCGGGUUGUAAACCUCUUUCAGGAGGGACGAAGCCACUCGGGUUAAUAGCCCAGAGGGUGACGGUACCUCCAGAAGAAGCCCCGGCUAACUACGUGCCAGCAGCCGCCGUAACAC